rnacentral:rRNA from 1 species
UACGAAGGGGGCUAGCGUUGCUCGGAAUUACUGGGCGUAAAGCGCACGUAGGCGGUCUUUAAGUCGGGGUGAAAUCCUGGAGCUCAACUCCAGAACUGCCUUCGAUACUGGAAGACUUGAGUCCGGGAGAGGUGAGUGGAACUGCGAGUGUAGAGGUGAAAUUCGUAGAUAUUCGCAAGAACACCAGUGGCGAAGGCGGCUCACUGGCCCGGUACUGACGCUGAGGUGCGAAAGCGUGGGAGCAAACAGGG